rnacentral:snRNA from 1 species
GUGCUCCCUACAGCAGCACCUAUACUAAAAUUGGAACGAUACAGGUUAGCAUGGUCAUGGCCCCCGUGUAAGGAUGACAUGCAAUGCAUUCAGUUCCGUAUUUU